CACGUAGGAGGCGAGCGUUGUCCGGAAUCAUUGGGCGUAAAGAGCGCGCAGGCGGCUUGGCAAGUCGGGUGUGAAAUCCCGGGGCUCAACCCCGGGACUGCAUUCGAUACUGUCAGGCUAGAGGUAGGUAGGGGAGGAUCGGAAUUCCUGGUGUAGCGGUGAAAGUGCGCAGAUAUCAGGAGGAACACCGGUGGCGAAGGCGGAUCUCUGGGCCUUACCUGACGCUGGAGGCGACGAAAGCUAGGGGAGCAAACAGG
rnacentral:rRNA from 1 species